CCUACGGGGGGCUGCAGUGGGGAAUAUUGGACAAUGGGGGGAACCCUGAUCCAGCCAUGCCGCGUGUGUGAAGAAGGCCCUCGGGUUGUAAAGCACUUUCAGUGAGGAAGAACGCCUGGUGGUUAAUACCCAUCAGGAAAGACAUCACUCACAGAAGAAGCACCGGCUAACUCCGUGCCAGCAGCCGCGGUAAUACGGAGGGUGCGAGCGUUAAUCGGAAUUACUGGGCGUAAAGCGCGCGUAGGUGGCUUGAUAAGCCGGUUGUGAAAGCCCCGGGCUCAACCUGGGAACGGCAUCCGGAACUGUCAAGCUAGAGUGCAGGAGAGGAAGGUAGAAUUCCCGGGGUAGCGGUGAAAUGCGUAGAGAUCGGGAGGAAUACCAGUGGCGAAGGCGGCCUUCUGGACUGACACUGACACUGAGGUGCGAAAGCGUGGGUAGCAAACAGGAUUAGAUACCCCUGUAGUC
rnacentral:rRNA from 1 species